rnacentral:rRNA from 1 species
CCUGAUGUCACACUGCCAAGAAAAGCUUCUAGUGAGAAAGUAACUGCCCGUACCGCAAACCGACACAGGUAGUUGAGGAGAGAAUCCUAAGGUGUGCGAGAGAACUCUCGUUAAGGAACUCGGCAAAAUGACCCCGUAACUUCGGGAGAAGGGGUGCUGACCGCAAGGUCAGCCGCAGUGAAUAGGCCCAAGCGACUGUUUAUCAAAAACACAGGUCUCUGCAAAAUCGAAAGAUGACGUAUAGGGGCGGACGCCUGCCCGGUGCUGGAAGGUUAAGAGGAGAGGUUAGCGCAAGCGAAGCUUUGAAUUGAAGCCCCAGUAAACGGCGGCCGUAACGAUAACGGUCCUAAGGUAGCGAAAUUCCUUGUCGGGUAAGUUCCGACCCGCACGAAAGGCGUAACGAUUUGGGCACUGUCUCAACGAGAGACUCGGUGAAAUUAUAGUACCAGUGAAGAUGCUGGUUACCCGCGACAGGACGGAAAGACCCCAUGGAGCUUUACUGCAGUUUGAUAUUGCGUGUUUGUAUCACAUGUACAGGAUAGGUAGGAGCCGAAGAUACCGGGACGCCAGUCUCGGAGGAGGCAACGGUGGGAUACUACCCUUGUGAUAUGACCACUCUAACCCGCUGCUCUUAGCGAGCAGGGAGACAGUGUCAGACGGGCAGUUUGACUGGGGCGGUCGCCUCCAAAAAUGUAACGGAGGCGCCCAAAGGUUCCCUCAGAAUGGUUGGAAAUCAUUCGUAGAGUGUAAAGGCAGAAGGGAGCUUGACUGCGAGACCUACAAGUCGAGCAGGGACGAAAGUCGGGCUUAGUGAUCCGGUGGUUCCGCAUGGAAGGGCCAUCGCUCAACGGAUAAAAGCUACCCUGGGGGUAACAGGCUUAUCUCCCCCAAGAGUUCACAUCGACGGGGAGGUUUGGCACCUCGAUGUCGGCUCAUCGCAUCCUGGGGCUGUAGUCGGUCCCAAGGGUUGGGCUGUUCGCCCAUUAAAGCGGUACGCGAGCUGGGUUCAGAACGUCGUGAGACAGUUCGGUCCCUAUCCGUCGCGGGCGUUGGAAAUUUGAGAGGAGCUGUCCUUAGUACGAGAGGACCGGGAUGGACACACCGCUGGUGUACCAGUUGUUCUGCCAAGAGCAUCGCUGGGUAGCUAUGUGUGGACGGGAUAAACGCUGAAAGCAUCUAAGCGUGAAGCCCCUCUCAAGAUGAGAUUUCCCAUCACUUUAAGUGAGUAAGACCCCUGAGAGAUGAUCAGGUAGAUAGGUUGGGAGUGGAAGUACAGCGAUGUAUGGAGCGGACCAAUACUAAUCGGUCGAGGACUUAAUC